ACCGUCUUUAUCGAGGGGUUGAGGGCUUGUCCAAUGAAAGCUAAUUGAGGGCAAGACUGCUAACACCCAUGAUUAACAUUUCCGCACCGCUUGUAUGAAAAUACGAGUCUGGGUGCAAUUUUUGGUAAU